GCACUGCUGAGGAGUCCCAUAACAGGACGAAACAGGCGUCCAGUGU
rnacentral:hammerhead_ribozyme from 1 species